rnacentral:rRNA from 1 species
UACGUAGGGAGCGAGCGUUGUCCGGAAUUACUGGGCGUAAAGGGCGUGUAGGCGGGAAUUUAAGUAAGGUGUGAAAACUCCGGGCUCAACCUGGAGACUGCACUUUAAACUGGAUUUCUUGAGGGCAGGAGAGGAAAGUGGAAUUCCUAGUGUAGCGGUGAAAUGCGUAGAUAUUAGGAGGAACACCAGUGGCGAAGGCGACUUUCUGGACUGUACCUGACGCUGAGGCGCGAAAGCGUGGGUAGCGAACAGG